UGUGGCUCCACAAUGGCCAUAGCAGAAGUGGUCACGUCGUGGCCCUGCAGGUUUAACAAACCUGCAAAUUCAGCU
rnacentral:ribozyme from 1 species